rnacentral:rRNA from 1 species
AUGAUCCUUGCUAUUGCAAUUUGGCACAUUUGGGAGAAUCUGAACAUAUAAGAAAUGGUGAAAAUGCCUAAUCCUUCAUGUGUGGUGGGCAAGAUCAAAGCUUAUGUUGAUUCCAUCUUAUUGUACAACUUCAGGUCAACUAUCUCCACUAGUCAUGAGCACCUGACAACAAUCCCAAAGUGGUCUCCACCGCUGGCUGGGUCAGUCCUAGUCAAUUUUGAUGUUGUGAUUUCCCCCCAGACCAAAUACAUGGGCAUUGGUGUUGUCUUCCGCAACCACCUAGGUCUGGUGUUAGCUACAAGCAGAAGACUUGUUGAUCAUGCGGAUCCAGAGCUGGGUGAAGCUAUUGCUAUGCGCCAUGCUUUAACAUUCAUUGAAGAAACUGGCUUCCAGCAGAUUAUUGUAGCUUCUGAUUGUGCUAGUUUGGUCAGUAAGGUGAAAAGUGGAGAGAAGGACAGAUCUCACAUAGGUGCCAUAGUCUUUGAUAUUAAGAGAAGGGCUCCAAAGUUCAUGUCAUGUAAUUUUACUCAUGCUAGUCGUUCUUGUAAUGAGGCAACUCAUGUUCUAGCAAAGUCAACUGAAAAUGAUGUAGGGUCUUGCUGGUUUAAUGUGUCUCCUGAUAUUAUCAGGGCCAUUGUUUGUACCGAACAAAUUUCCGAAUGAAUAUACGAAGCUGUCUUUUGUCAAAAAAACAAUACAUGA